rnacentral:rRNA from 1 species
UACGAAGGGGGGCUAGCGUUGUUCGGAUUUACUGGGCGUAAAGCGCACGUAGGCGGAUUGUUAAGUCAGGGGUGAAAUCCUGGAGCUCAACUCCAGAACUGCCUCUGAUACUGGCUAUCUUGAGUAUGGGAGAGGUUAGCGGAACUCCGAGUGUAGAGGUGAAAUUCGUAGAUAUUCGGAAGAACACCAGUGGCGAAGGCGGCUAACUGGCCCAUUACUGACGCUGAGCUCGAAAGCGUGGGGAGCAAAC